rnacentral:rRNA from 1 species
UACCGGAUGCGACGCGAGGAGCCUCGGCGCUUCGGACGGGAAAGAUUCGACAAGGAUCACUGAAGGACGAGCCUGCGGCCCAUCAGCUAGUUGGUGAGGUAAGAGCUCACCAAGGCGAAGACGGGUAGCUGGUCUGAGAGGAUGAUCAGCCACACUGGAACUGAGACACGGUCCAGACUCCUACGGGAGGCAGCAGUGGGGAAUAUUGCGCAAUGGGCGAAAGCCUGACGCAGCCACGCCGCGUGAGCGAUGAAGGCCUUCGGGUCGUAAAGCUCUGUGGGGAGAGAAGAAUAAAGCCUGUGAAGAGCAGGCCUUGACGGUAUCUCCUUAGCAAGCACCGGCUAACUCCGUG